GUGCCUGAUUAUAUUCUUAAUUCUGUCAAUGGGCCUCAUUACUUGAUUUUAGCUUGAUUUAUGAAUGGGAGAAUAAAUUCACAAUAUGAGUAUUUUUUUGUAUUUGUUUUUAUAGUGUGGCAAUGGAUAGAGACCUCUUAAGAAGGAAAAGCUCUAUUAUAGAGGUUUUUACGUGUUUUCAGUAACGUCCAGGUUGGAUAGGUUUACCUAUCUUUUACACUUUGCCUAAUUAUGAUAUU
rnacentral:lncRNA from 1 species